ACGGGAGGCAGCAGUGGGGAAUAUCGGACAAUGGGGGAAACCCUGAUCCAGCGACGCCGCGUGAGUGAAGAAGUAUUUCGGUAUGUAAAGCUCUAUCAGCAAGGAAGAAAAUGACGGUACUUGACUAAGAAGCCCCGGCUAACUACGUGCCAGCAGCCGCGGUAAUACGUAGGGGGCAAGCGUUAUCCGGAUUUACUGGGUGUAAAGGGAGCGUAGAUGGCAAUUUAAGUCUGAAGUGAAAGCCCCGGGCUCAACCCGGGAACUGCUUUGGAAACUGGAUAGCUAGAGUGCAGGAGAGGUAAGUGGAAUUCCUAGUGUAGCGGUGAAAUUCGUAGAUAUUAGGAGGAACACCAGUGGCGAAGGCGGCUUACUGGACUGUAACUGACGUUGAGGCUCGAAAGCGUGGGGAGCAAACAGGAUUAGAUACCCUGGUA
rnacentral:rRNA from 1 species